GACAGAGGGUGCAAACGUUGUUCGGAAUUACUGGGCGUAAAGCGCGUGUAGGCUGCUCCGCAAGUCGGGUGUGAAAGCCCUGGGCUCAACCUAGGAAGUGCACUCGAAACUGCAGAGCUGGAGUCCUGGAGAGGAAGGCGGAAUUCUCGGUGUAGAGGUGAAAUUCGUAGAUAUCGAGAGGAACACCGGUGGCGAAGGCGGCCUCUGGACAGUGACUGACGCUGAGACGGCGAAAGCGUGGGGAGCAAACAGG
rnacentral:rRNA from 1 species